CAUGGCAAAACUCCAAUCACUCUGAUUCUCACAAUAGCAACAGCAAUAGCAAUAGCAACAAGCAAUGGCAUCAGAUUCCGAGACGCAGUAGACAAGCCAGCCAAGUGCCAAAACAUCUUGAAUUCUCAGAGGAGGAGGAAGAAAGAAUCGGAUCAGGCAGGGCGUAGAAACCCUAGCGCCUCGGGUUCCCAAAUCGAAUCAAAAACGGGGGAAACCCUAGAAUCGGGAAUAGGGGCGACAAGACAACAGCGCGCAGGACGAAGACGAUGGAGGAUGGACGCCGAGCGAGGAAGAAGAGAGCGAAGUGCGAACAGGGGGUUGAGAAGAA